CCCCUAGAUGUUCUGGGCCGCACGCGCGCUACACUGAACAGUUCAACAAGUCUUAACCUUGGCCGAUAGGUCUGGGUAAUCUUUGAACGCUGUUCGUGAUUGGGAUAGACCUUUGCAAUUAUGGGUCUUCAACGAGGAAUUCCUAGUAAACGCAAGUCAUCAGCUUGCAUUGAUUACGUCCCUGCCCUUUGUACACACCGCCCGUCGCUCCUACCGAUGAGUGGUCCGGUGAAUAAUUCGGACUGGACUUUUACGCGGUUCUCCGUGUGCUUGUCCGGGAAGUCUAGUGAACCUUAUCACUUAGAGGAAGGAGAAGUCGUAACA
rnacentral:rRNA from 1 species